CUCUUCCCUUUCUUGUAAAUAAUGGCCUGGUAAGAUUACUGCAUCUGGCACGUAGCAGCUGCCCAAUAAAUGUUGCUAAAUGAAUAACCCUGACAUGAGUGGCUGCAUUCCCAAGGUUCUCCCAGCGUUAGAUUUUCACUUUCAAACCAACAGAAAAGGAAGCAGGGCCGCCUGAGCGGGGCGUAGAGAACUAGGAGCAAGCUGUUCCCCGCCCUUCCCAGGGCAGACGUUGUUGCUUCAUCGCUGACUGAAACGUCGAUGGCCGGGGAGGCAGCCAGCCCCGGCACAGCGGCCGCCUUAUAAGGACAUUGGCCGGGCCUGCCAGGUGUGUCAUCCCGGCUGGAGAGGCGGCCAAUGGUGGCCCGUGAGUCAAGGCCUGGGCGGGUAAAGCAUCCUCAGGAAGUCAUACAGGCAGAAAGUGAGAGUUUUCUCACUUCCCUCCCCCCUCCAUGUUUCCAUGUGUUUUAAAUUAUUAUCCCAUCUGCCGUUUACCUCUGCAACUGGGAAAACAGAGAAACGGAUUUUUGAAUUAAAACAAAGGUACUCAUAAGCUGUUACGUCACUAGCAAAGAGAAGUCCCUCUCUGCUUUUUUGGGCGGGGGGCACUGCUGAAAUGAAGAAAUUGCAUGUCUGCGGGAAGGUCUCCUGGAGAAUUAAUACACAGUGGUCCAUCCGUGGCAAGGCGAUAUCUGGCAGCGAUGGAGGGCUGCCCCGGCCCCAGGGCAGCGCUGGAGUCUCCUGGGCCAGCCUCUGCCCCAGGCUCCUGUUGAGAGGAGGACUCGAUACCAGCAAAGGCAAGCCGGGAGUGGGCAGGGGGCCUUGGAGAAAAACGGUCCUUCGGAAAGGGAAGAGGACAAAGGAAGGGGCAGUGGGCCUGACCAGAGGGGGCAGAGAAUCGUGGUUAAGAAAUUAGGCUUGAAAUCUUACAGACCUGGGUUUUGAACCUGAUUCGCCCACUUCAGCUGGGUGGGCUAGAGCAAGUUAGUCCAUGUAAGUCUCAGUCACCCCAUGUGAAAUAUUUCUCCAUAGCACGCCAAUGCUUUCCUCACAUGAACUCACCAAAUUCUCAUACCCAACCAAUGAAGUAGAUUCUGUUACUCCCCUCACUCUACAUAUGAGCAGAGUACAUGCCCUAGGUCGCACAGGUAGUGACCGGCAGAACUGAAAUUUGACCCUGGGCAGGCAGGCACCAGCCCGAGCGCUUAGGUUGGUCUAAGACAUGCUGCUGAGAGGUUAGAAUCACACCCGCCUCACCUGAUGGAGCGCUGGAGGACUAAGUGGACCAGGGGGCUCGUGAAAAGCUCUUAUUUCUGCACCUUACACGCGGAGUUAGUAAAAAGCUGGAGUCAAAUCGCAGCACGAAUUUCAUGGAAUAUGAGGCCCUUCCAUCAGGAGCUAAGGCAUCAAGCCGAGGUCCCUCAGAAUGAGAAAUGACCCUUUGCGACAGCACAUUCCCCACAUCUAGCAGAGGAGCUGAGGCAUUGUCUUGGCAGGAAGACUCAACAAGUUUAUGGAAGGAGAAGAGGCAGAGGAAAACUGAUCAGCCUAAAGGCAAGAUCCACCCUGCUCUCUACGAAGGCCCUCAGUUUAUCUUGGCUCUCUGCAACAGCCUCCAGCAGGGGCGGGAGGGAGCCGUUCCCCUGGGGCUGUCUUGGAGCCUGUGCACCUCCCAGCCUCCCCUAGAGGGAUUCCCCGGUCCCCAGAGCAGCAGUGGGCGUUUGGCAGGGCGCUGGAUUGCUCUUCAAUGGACUAAAAGACUCCUUUGGACACUAGAGACCCAGUCGUUUGAGGCUGCCAGAAAAGAUGACUAAUUUGCUUUUUCUUAACUAAACAACAUCAAAAAAAAAUGUUCCAUGGAAAAUUAUAAAGGCAUUUUUAAAGGAGACUGGGAUUCAUGAGUCUGUUCUUUAUCUUUUUCAUUUUCUUCUUAAAUUUAACUAUUUAGGAAAUUGCUUAUUAAAACCAAAGGUCAAGAUCUUUUCCUCCUUCAAAAGCAAAACCAAACCUAGUCUGUUUUCUUUCACAGGAAGUUCAGCAUCUUCCUAGAAGGAAGUGGCCACCUUGCGUGAGUGUCUCAGUACUAUUUUGGCUCAUCCUCCAUAAAUAAAAUAUUGUUAUUUAGUUUGGGCUUCUCCCAACUUUUACCCACUUACCUGGUGCAUGGGCUUUUGAAUCUCCCAGGGAAUUUUUGCCAAUUGCCACUAACACAGUAUUGAAAACUACACAGUCAAAUGCCAUUAUACAUACUGUGGUGGGAUUCUACAUGGACUUGUCGUCGUCCAUGGCCCAGAGCAAAACCCGAAAAUGAAACAGAAUCUCUCACUGCCAAGAGCUUGGUAAAACAUGCAGAUCCUAUCUUCCCCAAGAACUUAACAUGGAGCACUCCAGCUUCUGUUCAAUGACCUUACCAAAAAAAACCUGUUUAGGGCAUCCAGUUUAUAGAAUAUAGGAAGAAGAUACUGACCAAAGAGGAUAGACUCAGAAAUGUUAAGUGUUUUCAAAGCAUUAAAAUAUCAUUUCAAAGUAAUGAGAUCAAAACCAACCACAAUUUCAAAGUUCACUUGUGUAAAGCGUUAAGCUCCAAAACAUUGAUGACAUCCAAAAGUUAAAAUAUACCAAAGUUAUGGCCCCUUGCGAAUGGAUGUACAGAGAAAAAGCUAUAAAAAAACCCUUGUUCUUUGGCCCUUUGCAUUCAGUUUAAGGCAAAUUAGAUACAGUCCAUCCUCAUUAUUCCCAGAUUACAUACUUGCAAACUUGCCUACUCACGAAAAUGUAUUUGUAUCUCCAAAAUCAAUACUCAUGGCCUUUCAAGGUCACUGCAGAUACUCACGGAGCAGCAAAAAAAUUGAGUUUCCCAACGCACUCACUCAUUCUUAGCUGAUCUCAAACAAGACCAUGCUCUGCCUUCCUGUUUCAGCACUCACACUGGAAACAGCCUUUUCAUGGUCUAUUUAGUGCAAGCUUUCCCACAUUCUUCUGCUUUUUGUUGAUGAUUUUGCUGUCUAAAAUGGUCUCCAAAAUCUAAAAAUGUUGAACUUAUAGAAACAGAGUAGAACUUAUAGAAACACAGUAGAAACUGAAAAGAUGUUGGUCAAAGGGUACCGAAUAUUAGUUAUAAGAUGAGCAAGUUCUGGGGAUUUAAUGUACAGCAUGGGUAGUGAUGGAUGUGUUACUUAAUUUAAUUGUAGUAAUCAUUACACAGUGUAUACAUAUGUCAAAUCAUCACAUUGUAUACCUUGAAUAUAUUCAGUCUUUAUUUAUCAAUUAAAUAUUUUUAAAUGAAAACAUAAAAUAAAAUAAAAUGGUCCCCAAGUGUAAUGCCAAAGUGCUAUAUAGUGGUCCUAAGGAUAGGAAGGCUGACAUGGAGAAAAUACAUCUUAGAUAAGCUUCAUUCAGGUACGAGGUAUAGUGCUGUUGGUGAUAAUGACCUCAAUGUUAAUGAAUCAAUAACAUAAUAAAGAAAGUGUCUUUAAACAGAAACACAGAGUUAUGUAUUGAUCAGUUGACAAAAACAUGAUCAGAGGUUGGCAGGACUCUAAAGCUGUAUUUUCCCCAGCUACGAUGGUUCAGUAUUCACUAAUUCAAUGUUCACAGCAACUGCAUAGAACAUAACUACCAAGAGUAACAACAAUUGACUAUUUGCUCGAGCUUAUGGUUGUCCUUUUAAGGGAAUUUAAUUUAUGUAGUGUCUCUUUGUUGUGAAUUUUAUUAAGUACCUAUUAUGGGUGGGGGCACCAUGAUAGCUCCUUAGAGGGCCCAAAGGUGACCAAAGCCAAUGCCCUUGCCAUUCCCAUCAAGAGACGGGGUCUAUUGACUCCAUGAACUGUGACUCUUGGCAGAACUUCAUAACUGUCUUGAUGAAUAGAAUGCGGCAAAAGUGACAAAGCCUUUCAAGGCUAGCUCACAGAAGUUAAUACAGCUUGUACCUGGCUCUUUUCCUGGGGCCACUCACCCUUGGAACCCUGAAACCCAACCACCACAUUGUGAGGAAGCCAGCCCACCACGGGAAGGUCAAGUAUACGUGUCCACCUUCAGCCAGCAAUCUGCAUCCACUGCACAGGUAAGCAAGCAGACUCUCAGGGACUCCAGCCACCUGCCUCAGAGCUGCCCCAGUGGACACUGAGUGAGCAGAGGCAAACAGUUUCCUCAGAGCCCUGCCCAAAUUGCAGAUUUGUGAGCAAAAUAAAUGCUGCUAUUGUUCAUGCAACUGAGUUAGGGAGCGGUUUGUUAUGUAGUAACAGAAACCUGAUACACUGUUCCUAGGUCGCUCAGGCCUAAAACCUUGGCAUGGGCCUUGCCCCCUCUCUUUCUCUCAUACCACUUCUCUCUGACCCAACUCUGUCAGCAAAUUCUCACAAAAUAUGUCCAAAAUCUCUCCUCUUCUUACCAUCCAUUGCUGCCACCAUGCCCGGUCUGUCACCACUGUUCCCCAAAUGCUUUAUUGCAAUAGCUUCCUAACUAGCCUCCCUGCUUCCACCCUAAUUCUCAACAUAGCAGCCAAAGUGAUCCUAUUAAAAUGUAAGUCACAUUGUAUUAACUCUCUAAUCAAAAGCUCAAUGGCUUCCCCAUCACUAUACAAUAUGUUCCCACCCCCAUAAUUUUCAGUCAUCAUUUCCUACUAUUCUCCCCCUUGCUCACUCUCCUACGUCAUGUUGGCCUUCUGCUGGCCUCCCUAAUGUUCCUAAUACACACCAGGUCUGUCUCCACCUCAGGCCUUUGCACAUGGUCCACUCCUUCACCUCCUUCUAGUUUUUACCCAAAUGUCACCUUCUGUGUGAGCAUGGCUCCGCCACACUAUCAUCUUUCCCUGCACUAUUUUUCCCCAUUGCACUUCCCACCACUCACACCAGCUUAACUACUCAUCUGCUUCAUUGCUUGCUGCCCCACACAGAGAGUGCCACAGAGCAGACAGUGGACUGCUAGCUCUGUGAGCCAGGGAGUUCUGUCUAUUUUCCUCACUGUUGCAUCCCUACUGUCUUAGACAGUACCUGGUUGGCACAUAGAAGACCAUUCAUAAACAUUUGUUGAAUAAAUGACUGGGAUUAAAUGCUUUUGUUGAAGUCACAUCUUCUAGAUGGCCAUGGGAGAAUUUGAACCCAGGCCAUUUGCUCUAGUUUUUAUACCAAGUUAUAUUCAUCAAGAUAAUUUUAGCUAUAAUAAUAGAAUACUCAGAUAAAACAAAGAAGAAAAUGUACUAUCUUACAAAACAAAAUACCUUGAGGUAGGUGUUUCCAAGGUUAAUUAUUUCAGUAGCACAAUGAUGGUAUCAAAGACCUAGGUGUUUUAAAUCUCUUCUCAUUGCCAUCCUUACUUAGAGUAGCACAUUGUAAUUCUCAAAGAUGACCACACCUACAUAUUUAUCUAAUAGCACAUGCUCUUCAUGCAAUGUGACUGACAACUGACACACCUCUCAUCAAGACAGGGGCUGGUGUUCUCUCCUCUCAACUUUAGGCACGGGAUUGUGACUGUCCCAAUCAAUACAGCAAGGCAGAAAAGAUGCUCGUGACUUCUAAGGCCAGGUGACAGACAGGAUACAGCCUCCACCUGGCUGGCUCUCUCUUUCAGGACGCUUGCCUUUGGAACUCGGCCGCCAUGUUGCGAGGAAGCCCUGGGCAUCUGGAGAUGCCAGCAUGGAGAGAAUCUAAGGCCUCCCUUCAGCAGGCAGCACCAACUGCCAGCCACGUGAGUGAACUAUCAUGCAAGUGGGCCCUUCAACCCCAGUCAAGCCUUCAGAUAGCCACAGCUCCAGCCAACAUGUGAUUGCAACCUCAUGAGAAACCUCCCAGCCAGGACAGCUCUCAAAUUCCUGACACAUAGAAACCAUGGAAGAUAAUAAUUAUUGUUGCUUUAAGCCACCGAGUUUUGGAGUAAUUUGCCAGGGAGUAUUGGACAACUAAUACACUUAGCAUGUUGUCUUUGCACUUGUCCCUUCAUAGUUAAAGCAUGGAAGAUAUAGCUCCUGAUAUCACAAUAUGACAGAAUAUGAAGAGAUAUGGCAAUCUCUUCUGGACAUAAUUCAAUUAAAUUUAUAAUAACUAGAAUCUUCUGAAUCCAAAUCUAGAUACAGGAUUGUAUCACUAAGAGCUACAGGACUGGCUAUAUACUCCUUUUAAGCAAGAGCAAGUAGCUGCGCUAAAAUAUUUUAGACAAUCCACAUAUCUUAACCACUAGUAAGCUCACUUAUAAAACCCUGUUUGUAGCAUCCAUUAUACUAAUUAAAAAGCCACUGAUUUCAUCAGUGGAAACCUAUUUCUAACAUUUAGUAUGCCAACUAGCAAAGCAUCUGCUACUGAUCACAGAUAAAGGUCAGGGGAGCUCUUAUAAUAGCUGCUUCUGGAGUGCAGACUUCCUAAUUAGAAUGCUGGCUGUCCACCCUAGGAUGUGAAUUGCCAAUUAGGGCAACAACUGUGCCUAGUCCUAGGGUAUAAUGUAACCCAGAAUCCACACAUGAAAUCGCACUGCCUGUGAUGAAGUAUUUUAAAGUAAAUUAGACGCAUAACACCCAACCUGGUUUUCUUAUUGUAAGUUCAUUUCCAUCUCCCCUUCCAAGCCCCCCCCCUCAAGUCUCACUGUUAACUUGCACUUCUGAGGAGCCCAACCCACUCAAACCCAGGAAGGGGUUUCCUUUCCGAUACUCUCUCCAGUAUGUGCUGCAGACGCCCUGUUUUGGCUCUUAGAUCAGCUCAAUGCAUGCCUAUUUUCCAAGGAAGGCAGUAAUCCUGGAAGACAGCUCAGUUCAAACCUACAUUCAGGAAGGACAUAUGCUGUAUUUCUUUAACUGCCUCAUAACUUGCAAUUAGAAUCAAUAAUUCUUGUGUGGUUGAAGAUAGGAUUUGGUCUCUGGGAGCCUCCCAAGCUGAAGAUCAGGCUCCUGUUAUUCUUUAAUGGUUUUCACAUGAAAGACAUUGAAAAGGUACAGGUACGUCAAAUCCCCACCAAGUAUCUGUGUCCUAUUCGGUCUCCAUCUGGGGUUGGAUAGGAAGUGCCAGUUCUCUCGGUGGCAGAUGGCAGCCAAGGUUUAUGAAGCUGUGGAUCAAGCACGGACACAUGGGCAUGCGUGAAGGACCAUGGAGAGGCCAGUAAAGCCGACCCAGGCCACAGCAGGGGCUGUGCGGAGUAAGUAACCCCAGACUCUAGCCCCACUGCCGCCAACACUGGGAUCCCACUCACAUGCUCCUUAAUCUUUCUUGGCCCCAAUAGUUUCUCACUUACAAAACAAAAGGACAUAAGAUCUCUUCUAGCUGGAUAGGCUAAUCCUGGCUACUUGAAGCCAUUGGUUCUGCACAAACCUGGCACGGGAGACCUUCUUUGUUGUUCCCAUAUUUCCCUCCUCUGUUACUCUCCCUCCAUCCCUCUUCCCAUAUCUUCCCCUCCUUUCCCUUCCAUCCUGCCUUCCCACGUGGAGUACCUGCUAGGACCUCAGAAUGCUCCUGGCCAUCAAGAACUUCAUCAUCUGGUAAAGGACAUAUUAACAAUAAUUACUAUAAUAACUAUAUUUUAAUGAGAAUAAACACUAAAAUGCUAACUGCCAAUAUUUACUGGGCUCUCACUAUAUGCUGGGGAUCAUGCUAAGUGCUUUUCAUGCACCAGCUCACCUAACGUAAUUCUGGAAACAUCCCCAUGUGGCAGGAACUGCUAUUAUCCCAUUCUGCGUUUCAGAGAAGUCAAGCGAUGAACCAUAAAGCCCACAGGUCUCACCCAAUAGAGCCUUUUGAAUAACUAAAAAUCACAGUGCUACAGGACUAGUGCUAUCCUCAGGGCAUGUAAAACAAGCAGUGAGAAGCUGACAAGGAGAAAAAGAUCUCUCCCUGAAUGAAUCUGGAAAGAUUCUUCAAAGAGGUACCAUUGAAGAACGAGACGGCCUUUUACCUGAUGGAGAAGAAUCUAAUUGCAAGAGUAGGUUAACUCAUAACUUAGAGAGUGAUAAAGAAGAAAUCAAAAAUGCCACUGUCAUCUAAUACUGUCACAAGAAAGGAAAUUACUUAGGUUUUCAUCAGGCUAUAUGUUAACACAGAUAAUGCAUCAUUUUUUUUUUCCCCACACACAUCAAAAAUACUCACUUCAUGUGAGUAUUCACAUUCUCAAUGAAGCAAGAAUUGUUGCUUCAUUUCCUCCUUUAUGCUAAGUGAUGCCACUUACAUUUGUGGAAAUCGAGUUAUCUUUCAGCCUCCUGCCUUCCCCUAUUUUCUGGCCUAUACGUUUGUUAAUCACGUGAUUAUUCCCCAGGAAAUGUGCUCCAGCGCACUUUACUUAAGAAAUGUUCUCGAACAGAUCGGGGAAAACCCCUUCACUUUCUAGGAACAUUGGCAGCCUCAUGAAGGCUCUAGGUGACUGUUCCCUCAAUUAAGUUCUGGAUUCAACUCAUAGCCAGUCCCAUAGUUCAGAGUUAGAAAGUACAGAAAUUCGAUGGUUUUGCUGCUCAGCACUUGUACCCUCUUCUUUAGAUAAUGGGAACUCAGAUUUUCUUGGGGAACUACUUCUCCCCCAAUCUCAGGCCACGGGCUCAAUCGAGGUUAGCAGUCAUGAUCCUCGCUGGGCCACUGGGCAUCAGCCUUGGAACUUUCCUAGGUCCUCUUGGAAAAGAGGCAAAUUUUUCCCAUUUUUGAUUAACAAAGCUGGUGGGAUAUGAGUUCAGUACUACAAGGGCCCGUCUUUGCCACCACUUGAGUAGAGCCUGCCUGAAAAUGAAGCUAACACAGUGUCAGUGUUUCUGCUCGGACUGGGUAAAGCCCUUUGCAGCUUUCUCCCUGCCCACGCAUGAGGCUACUAGUGUCACUGCAACUGGACACUGCCAGAGGCACGCCUGAUGGGGACACAGGGACAUAGUGAUUAUGAAUAUUGCCUUUAUUCAAGCAGUGGGAGCUGUAUCUCAAACCUGCCAUGCUGUCUCCACACCCUGGCUGGGAUCCUGUAACUCCUCCAACUACUUAAAAAUCACCUUCUUGUCUUAGUGUUAGAUUUGUGCUUCUAACUCUGUCCUUGUCCCCUAGCUCAUGGCAGAAAUACUGCCUUAUGUUCUGGCAAACACAUCUGUGUGGUUGGUCUGGAGCCAACCUCUUAGAGCCAAGAGCGGCCCCUCCAUCACUGAGGUCACCCCCUCUUAUGGCCAGAGAGCUCCAGACUUUCCACCUUCCCCUGAGUCUCCAGGGCCUUCAAUACAAAGAACGAAGAGCCAGCCUUCUGCAUCCAGAUCUGUGGUCUCGACACUGGUGCGGAGACUGCUUGUUGCUCACAACAAUUCCAGUCUCCAGGAGAGCAAGUUGGGAUGUCUGUCCGAGUCUACACGGACCUGCAUCAGCAUGCACAAUGCUGUUUGUUAUAUGACACAGCCCGGCCAGCUCCCAGAGCUGAUUAAAUAGCAUUAUGCCACAAAUAUUAUAUCCAACAUUAUGAAACAUUAUGACCUUGGGUGAUAAUACCCUGAUUUGCCCUGGGUCAUCGGCAGCUCACUAAAAGUCAUGCUUGCUGGUGGCCCACUGUGAUGUUUCUGGACUGCAUUCUGCUCAGCCAGACCAUUUGAGAUGUUAACAUACACAUGAGGGCCCCUCUCAGUCUGUUUAAAAUCCUCUAGUCUUCCUGGGCUGCUUAAGGAGGUGUCACUGGCAUGGUGUGGUCUAUUGACUCCACAUCUCCAUUCCUGAUACAACAUCACCUUUCCUGCUAGGAACCAGCCAGAAGAACAAAAACCACUCAGGUUUCCUAGCAAUGCCUUAUUUGUGGACAGAUUGCAAAAUAGCCACAGUUGACCCAAAGUUUCAGGCAGGUCUCAACUAAGAUUGGUUUGCGUUUCCCAAGGUCACUUAUAAGCCAAUUCUUGGGACUCAGAAUGUAUUUUCCCAUGGAAACAGUGUCAUAGACUAUAACAAGGGCCUCAGGCCAAGCCACAAGUGCCUACCAUAAUUGUGGUGCCAAGAGCACUAUUUCAAUAACUCCCAAUCACUAUAUAUAAUACUACUUCUAUAGGGAAGCUCCCGUUGUGUUUCAAGCUACCACAAAGUGUUCUAAGAACACAUUUCUAAGCCCCCACAUUCGUCCUGGCAGCAUGAGAGAAUUACUGCUUUUGAUUAAGCAUUCAUUCAUCCCCACAAAUACUUAUUGAGUAUCUAUUUUGCACCAGCCACUGCUGCAGGUGCUGGGAACAUAGCAGUGAUUAAAAGUCACCCCCAAAAUGUUCAGCAAUGGAAACACAGUGAGCUGCUACCAUAUUGGCCAGCAUAAUGGAGAAAGGGCUGUCCUGCUGUUUCUUUCAAAAUGACUAGAGUGUCCUGAAGGUACAUUUCCAUUUUCACCCUAGAAUGCAGAAAUGCAGACUUUCGGUUUUCUAGCUUAACAAUGUUUAGAUCUAGUCUUUACUUUGCAUUCCAUUUUCAAAUUUAGUCGUUGACCCUCAAAUCAAUAAGAAGCAGAUCAAGAUAAGACAUAUUCUCUCUUCUUCCUUGUGGCAAAAGAGAUCCUGGGAGGCCCAUGGUGUCUUAACUGAGCUUGCCUGGCUUGAGGACUUCAGAUUCCCUGGGCGUUUUGAAGGGCUUGUGGGGAAAGGGGACGAUGCCAGUGGAACCACCAGGCCAGUGGAUUUCCAGUCGAUUCAGACGGUGAGAAGGGAACUACAUUCUUCUGCUUCUUAACAGCCCUCGAAGAACUGUCUGGGGGUCUAACAUGGAGAACAGAAGCCCAGCACCUGCCAGACACAGCUCAACCUCGAGUGGCAUUCAUCUGGGAAAGCCCUCAUGUCGUGUCUUCAAAGGCAAGGUGUCACCUUCUCUGGGCUAGACUUAUACUUAGCCUAUUUGAUUCGAGCCUUUGUCACUUUCUAGCCGUAUGACUUGGGACAAGCAACAGAGCCUUACUCUUCUCAUUCAUAAAAUUCAAAAUAAUAUAAAUAUUACCACUUCGAGCUGAGGACUAAAUCAAUUAACAUUUGUACAACAUAAUAAAGCCACCAUAUCCAGCACAGAGUAAGCAUGCCACAAUGGCAGCUAUAUUCUGAAGUAUUACUUGGGUUUCACUUAUGUAAAAUUACAAAGCCUACACUUUCUUCCCCAGGUUGGAGAAGAUGCCUAUCCAUUUAAGCCCAAGAGAUUCAGAGAUUUGGCAGUUUACUGACAAUGCCCUGUACGAGGCCUAGUGGUCAGUAGGAGAGUUCUAACCUGUAUGAAAAGUGCUGUGCUAGAUCCUGAAACAAGCUUGGCUUGUUCUUUCUGUUCCAGAAUGAAUGACAUCACUGCCUCAGUCCUUGAACACCAAAUGAGAGAGUCAUGGAGGGUUUCUUGCAGAGUUUCCCCACACAUUUCUAAUGCAUUUCCUGCAAGCUGACACUGCAACCCCAAGCAAAUAAAAAGUUAAGCAACACUUUUCUCAAGUGCCAUCUACGUAAAGAACAUUAUGCUCUGGUUACAAAGCCAUGAAGGGUUGGGGAAAAGAAUGCAAUAAAAUACCCAUGGCUAGAUGGAACGACGGAGGCAGUGUGGGGUGGUGGACUGAGCUGGACAUCAGAAAAGCCUUGGACCUGGACCCAUCCCCUCCCUUGAUAGCUGUGUGCUCUCAGGCAAUGACAGUCAACAUCGCCGGGCCUGGGUGCUUGAAUGUACAAUGCAGAGAGUGGCCUAAAUCAAUCUGAAGGUCCCUUCCAGUCGGUGGACGCAGUGAAGGAGGAGAAAAGAAACGUGAAAAAAAAUGUGAGAUAAACAACAGAGCAAUUCUCACUGCAUCCUCAAUUCUUAGGCAGUGAGGCCAGGACCACAGGGGCAUCAAGUAGAAAGUUUAAGUGCCUACUUUUCCCCAUUAGGUUUGUUUAAACAUUUCAAAUGCUUGAACUAUCCACUUUCCUCAGCUGACAGGAGAGCUAGUACUGGGAACACUGGUUCACUGGGGCAUAAAUCUGAGCUGCUUGCGAGGGCUGGACGCUGGAAUGUGAACCUGUCAGGAGCCUAAAUAAGGAAACAGGCCGCAGAACAGCUCACUGAGACAAAGGCACCAUGGAUCCCCGAGUUAGCCUCAGUUAGGAGAGGGGCUUUACCCCCCAGGAGGGAGCAAAAGGACCCUGUGCAAAUAAAACCCUGCACACGCAUCACCUAACAAGGAGAAUCGAUGUCAACACAGGCAGAUCAGCCUAGAGGGAAAACAAGGCCGGCUGCCGAGCUGAGGAGCAGGCAGGGCUGGGCUGGGCCUCCUGGGGCCCGCUGUCCCGGGUCCGCCCUAAAGAUAAAGCAACCCAAACUGGCUUCGGCCUCCUUCCUCACAGCCAGCUGGGGGGCGAGUGAGCGGCCCACCGGGCUUUUCUGUGGAGGCUGCAGACACCACGUCCACGGGAGGCUGGCCUCGCUGCCUAUUCCUAACACCUUCGAUUCUGAGGUUCUGGGAGCCCCAAGGUUCAGCCCACUCACCUCUCCCAAGCCAUGAGCACCCCACCCCUGCUCCCACCUCCAUUGGCAGGGCCCUGGCAAGAAGUCUCUUCUUUCCAAAAAAUGGAAAGACCCUGAAGUGAAUCACAAAUCAUAAAUCAAAGUGCUCUCUUGGGAUCUGUGUCUCAGGAAGUAGCCGGAAACAGGAUGCCCUCUCAUUCCCACACUGGUGGCAGCUGUGGGACAGGGUGGUUUCUCAGAAACACGCUGGGUGACCACUCUCGCACACGCUCCAAGGUGAGAACUCUCCCAGAGGAGCCGAGAGAGCCCGUUCUCACCUGGAGCACACGUUACCAAACACGGCCGCCGGGAUUAGGGACAAACAGAAACCAGCAAACCACACACACACCCUAAGAAAACACGCAGAGACGAUUCCACACUUGCCAGGCGUUCUCACGCCUCCGUAGCUGUCAUCAUCCUGUUCCCGCCACCUGGAACACCUUGUUUUGCUGGCUGAGUCGUGCUCGUCCUUUGAGAUGCACUGGAGGUCAGAGGCCGCUCCCUGAGGCCCGGCCUGCCUCCCGGGGCCCACACGCCCGAGUCCUCCUUUCCGUCGCGGGCAGGGGCUUCACUCAGAGCAGCUCUGAGGGUGUCACGAGCGCCUGACUCAGUGCCUGGCAAAGAAAGAGCUCCACAGAAGAUUUUAGAUAAAUUGGGUGUUGUCGAAAGUAACAUCCUCCUUGCAAUUAAUUCAUGGAAAAAGCACAAGUUGGCCAGGGCAGGAGGGAGCAUCCUGAAGAGUGUUCCCAAGUCCCAGGCGCUCGGAACCUCUGUGGGAAGAGCAACGCUGUCCAAGCAAUGGCAUUUCCCGGCUCGGAGAGAAGAGUCAACUGGUCCUUGAAAAAGGA